GGACUUGGCUCUAAAACAGUUGGGGAAGAGAGGGAGAGAGUAAACGGGCUUAGUACAAGUAAAAGCCUGAUCCCAGCACUUGAGAGGCUGAACCAGGAGGAUUGCUGGUCUCACUGUGGAGCUCUGGCUGUCCUGGAACUCACUAUAUGAAGACCAGGAGAUCUGCUGUCCCUGCACCACCACACCUUGCUCAAAGAAGGAUUUAUUAUUGUUCAGAGGUGACAGUACAUCAGGACGUGAAGACCAUGGCAAAGCACAGCCAUUCAUAUCGUGAUGGCCAGGAAGCAGACACAGGAGCUUUCAUGAGACUGGGCCUUGAUGCUUCCGUUUACACAUACACACUGAGCACACGAGCACAGGCAAAGAGAAGGCAGAAGGCGUACACCGGCACACUCGGAGCAUUACACCAACGUUAACAAACUGCGGAGUCUUCAGUACUUCCUUCACCCUGAAUAGAUGAAGACUUUUCUCAAGACAGUUUCAUGGUUUGGUCCACCUCGAAAAUAACCCCCCAGAAACUCAUGAUUAAACCUACAAAAUAG